GACGAACGCUGGCGGCGUGCUUAACACAUGCAAGUCGAACGGGAAGGCCCUGCUUGCAGGGUACUCGAGUGGCGAACGGGUGAGUAACACGUGGGUGAUCUGCCCUGCACUUCGGGAUAAGCCUGGGAAACUGGGUCUAAUACCGGAUAGGAGCCAUUUUUAGUGUGAUGGUUGGAAAGUUUUUUCGGUGUAGGAUGAGCUCGCGGCCUAUCAGCUUGUUGGUGGGGUAAUGGCCUACCAAGGCGGCGACGGGUAGCCGGCCUGAGAGGGUGGACGGCCACAUUGGGACUGAGAUACGGCCCAGACUCCUACGGUAGGCAGCAGUGGGGAAUAUUGCACAAUGGGCGCAAGCCUGAUGCAGCGACGCCGCGUGGGGGAUGACGGCCUUCGGGUUGUAAACUCCUUUCGCUAGGGACGAAGCUUUUUGUGACGGUACCUAGAUAAGAAGCACCGGCUAACUACGUG
rnacentral:rRNA from 1 species